AACGAACGCUGGCGGCAUGCCUAACACAUGCAAGUCGAACGAGACCUUCGGGUCUAGUGGCGCACGGGUGCGUCACGCGUGGGAACCUGCCCUUAGGCUCGGAAUAACUCCCCGAAAGGGGUGCUAAUACCGGAUAAUGUCUUCGGACCAAAGAUUUAUCGCCUUUGGAUGGGCCCGCGUUGGAUUAGCUAGUUGGUAGGGUAAAAGCCUACCAAGGCGACGAUCCAUAGCUGGUCUGAGAGGAUGAUCAGCCACACUGGGACUGAGACACGGCCCAGACUCCUACGGGAGGCAGCAGUGGGGAAUAUUGGAAAAUGGGCGAAAGCCUGAUCGAGCAAUGCCGCGUGAGUGAUGAAGGCCUUAGGGUUGUAAAGCUCUUUUACCCGGGAUGAUAAUGACAGUACCGGGAGAAUAAGCUCCGGCUAACUCCGUG
rnacentral:rRNA from 1 species